AGAGAGAGAACAAAUGAAAGGAACAAGAAGGAUGGGGAAAAAUAGAAAAGAAAAAGAAAAAGGAAGACACAAACUGGCAGUGUUGAGUCCCAUCCCACACCCACCCAGAGCCCACUUUUCCACACUCUUUCUCUGCAACCACCAGUCCUUCCCCUAAUCCGGGUAACAUGGAAAAAACUUGUAUGGACUCGUGGGUUUCCCAAAACUCACAAUCCCCUCCCCAUAAAAUAAAAAAAAAAACAACAAAAAAACAAAGGAACAAAAGUAUUAAUUUUCUAUGAUCUAAUGAAUAAACAGUUGGUAGCUGAAAUAAAGACUUUGGAAAGCAUGAGAUUGGUACAAAAUCCCCAUGCAUUUAUCUCUGGAGGUGUGUCUUCCACCUUCAUCUUGGAAGUACGUCUUCCCCGGUGGGUGGGUAGGAACACUAUCUCCUCGUUUUCGGCGGGGUUACAG